rnacentral:rRNA from 1 species
UGUAGGCGGUAGCGCAAGUUGGGUGUGAAAGCCCCUGGCUUAACCAGGGAGGGUCAUCCGAAACUGCGCUGCUUGAGGGCAGCAGAGGAAAGUGGAAUUCCAGGUGUAGUGGUGAAAUGCGUAGAUAUCUGGAGGAACACCGGUGGCGAAGGCGGCUUUCUGGGCUGUACCUGACGCUGAGGCGCGAAAGCGUGGGAGCGAACUGGAUUAGAUACCCAGGUAGUCCACGCCAUAAACGAUGGACACUAGGUGUGGGGGGUAUCGACCCCCUCUGUGCCGAAGCUAACGCAUUAAGUGUCCCGCCUGGGGAGUACGGCCGCAAGGCUAAA